GACGAACGCUGGCGGCGGGCUUAACACAUGCAAGUCGAACGGAAAGUCCCUGCUUUUGUGGGGUGCUCGAGUGGCAAACGGGUGAGUAACACGUGAGUAACCUGCCCUUGACUUUGGGAUAACUUCAGGCAACUGGGGCUAAUACCGGAUAGGAUCUCCUGUUGCAUUGUGGGGGGUGGAACGUUUCAGCGUUUGGGGAUGGACUGGCGUCGGAUUAGCUAGUUGGUUGGGUAAAGGCCCACCAAGGCGAUGACCCGUAGCUGGUCUGAGAGGAUGAUCGGCCACACUGGAACUGAGACACGGUCCAGACUCCUACGGGAGGCAGCAGUGGGGAAUAUUGGACAAAGGGCGCAAGCCUGAUCCAGCCAUACCGCGUGGGUGAAGAAGGCCUUCGGGUUGUAAAGCCCUUUUGUUGGGAAAGAAAAGCAGCAGGUUAAUACCCCGCUGUUCUGACGGUACCCAAAGAAUAAGCACCGGCUAACUUCGUG
rnacentral:rRNA from 1 species